rnacentral:rRNA from 1 species
CAGCCGCCGCGGUAAUGCGUAGGUCCCGAGCGUUGUCCGGAUUUAUUGGGCGUAAAGCGAGCGCAGGCGGUUAGAUAAGUCUGAAGUUAAAGGCUGUGGCUUAACCAUAGUACGCUUUGGAAACUGUUUAACUUGAGUGCAAGAGGGGAGAGUGGAAUUCCAUGUGUAGCGGUGAAAUGCGUAGAUAUAUGGAGGAACACCGGUGGCGAAAGCGGCUCUCUGGCUUGUAACUGACGCUGAGGCUCGAAAGCGUGGGGAGCAAACAGGAUUAGAUACCCCUGUAGUCCCUGUCUCUUAUACC